AACGAACGCUGGCGGCAUGCCUAACACAUGCAAGUCGAACGAGAACUUCGGGCUUAGUGGCGCACGGGUGGGUAACGCGUGGGAACUUGCACUUAGGUUAGGUAUCAUUCCCCGAAAGGGGUGUUAAUACCGGUUAAUGUCUUAGGAGCUAAGAUGUAUCGCCUUGGGAUGGGCCCGGGUUGGAUUAGCGAGUUGGUAGGGUACAAGCCUACCAAGGCGACGAUGCAUAGCUGGUAUGUGAGGAGGAUCAGCCACACUGGGACUGAGACACGGCCCAGUCUGGUACGGGAGGGUGGGGUAGAGAAUAUUGGGCGAGGAACCAAGGUCUGAUACAGCAGUGCGGCGUGAGUGGGGAAGGGCGUUGGGUUGUAAUGCUCUUUUACCCGAGAUGAUAAUGACAGUACCGGGUAAAUAAGCACCGGCUAACUACGUG
rnacentral:rRNA from 1 species